AGCCUGUUCCACGAUGUCGAAAGAACACGUUCGCACAACUUUUACACGACAAACAGCUGAUUUCCGUUCCACUAAAAUCCAUCAGAACGAAAAUUUGCACGAAAAUCAAAGCGAACGAAAACGUAAGCGUUUCAGUGUAAUUUUGCGUUCCACUAUCUUUUUUCUUUCGUACGCAUGCGAACACAAAUGUCAAAAUCAGUCACUUGUGUGUUUGCUGUCGAAUAAUAAAAAUUAAGGAAAAUUGUUUUAACAUAAACAUUCCUUGAUUGAAAAUGGAAAGAAAAAUCACGAAAAAACUACACAGCUGCGGGCACUAGUUGAGUAUAUGGGGGAGAAUCCUAAGUUCGCCAGAGGAGUGCCAAUUUUUGGAAGUAGCAGGCAAUCCCAUGAAGACCACUGGAAGACACAAACCUAGAAAAAAUCAUUUUUUUAUUAUUUUAAAAAUGUAAAAAUACAAUCAUACUUACUGGUUGUUAGGUACUUCAAAUAAAUUCGAAGCAUCUCUUAAAUGCCUCCGUGGCACAAUUUGAA